CCCUUAGAUGUUCUGGGCCGCACGCGUGCUACACUGACCGGCGCAACAAGUUUCUUUCCUUGGCUCGAUAGGCCUGGGUAAUCUUUGAACGCCGGUCGUGAUGGGGAUAGAUCCUUGCAAUUUUUGAUCUUCAACGAGGAAUUCCUAGUAAAUGCGAGUCAUUAUCUCGCGUUGAUUACGUCCCUGCCCUUUGUACACACCGCCCGUCGCACCUACCGAUUGAAUGGUCCGGUGAAGCCUCGGGAUUGCGAAUGCUUCGUGCGGACGCGAGAACUUGGCUAAACCUUACCAUUUAGAGGAAGGUGAAGUCGUAACA
rnacentral:rRNA from 1 species